rnacentral:antisense_RNA from 1 species
GUCCGUCAAAUUAAUGUUGAGAAUUAUUAAAUUUUUUUACUCCACAAAGAAAAAGCAAACCUCCUUAAAAGAAGAUUUGCUUAGUGAGUUAAGAUUAAUGAGCAUUGAUUUCUUGGGCGAUUUCACGACCAGAUAAGUCUGAACCGUAGUAAGUUGGCCAAUGUUCUAACUCUUUAUGUAAUUUUUCUUGGCUGUCACCACCCCAGUACAGGUGGAAAUGCUUUGCUUUUUCAGGAGCAAUGGCAUGGUCACUGAAUUGAACGUAUUUGAAUUCGCCAGCAUCUGCUUCUUUAGCUUCAAACAUGAAACGAACCCCGCGAUUUCCUUUUGGAUAGGUCAAGAUUUCUUUGCCGGCGUAUGUGUAAGUGAAGGUUUUCUUUUCACCAUUACGAACAAAGGUCAUGGUCUUUUUCUUACCAUUGAUUUUGAUUUGUUCCACGUCAGUUUUAUAACCAGUAGUGUAGUAAUCUUUGUACUCGGCUGCUGUCAUUUUACCUUUAGAUUUUUUAGCCUUGUAGUCCCAAACUUGGUCUAAAGUACCAUUUUGUAGAUAGGGGUAAACAGAUUGCCAGCUACCUGACCAGUCAGAUAAUUGACGAUCUUUGACUUCUUUGUCUUUGAAAUAACCAUUGUAAACUGUCUUAGUCGUGUCUUUUUCUGGAAGAAUUUCUUUACCAGCCACAUCAGUGGUUAAGCGUAAGGUUUCAAGGUUUUUACGCAUGACCGUAAAGUAAUCUUGGCCAGCUUUCAUCUCUUUUUCAGUCAAACCUUCAAGCGGACUAAGCACAGCCGCUUUAACUCCUGCUUCUUUAGCUAGGGUUUUUGCGACUUUACUUGACGCAUUUUCCUCAAAAUAAAUGUAUUUGAUGCCAUAUUUUUUAACGUAUUUUGACAAAGUAGCAAUACGUUUUGCUGAUGGUUCUGCAUCUGGUGUGACACCAUUAAUAGAAAUUUGGUUCAAGCCAUAGUCAAGUGCCAUAUAACCAAAAGCUGCGUGUUGUGUCACAAAGCUCUUUUGCUUAGCAUCUGAAAGUGCUGCCGUAUAGUCUUUGUCAAGCUCUUUUAAUUUUUCAAUAUAAGUAGCGGCAUUGGCUUUGAAGUUCUCUGCUUUUUCUGGGUAAGCUUUUGAAAGACUGUCGCGAAUAUUUUCAACGACUGUAAUGCUACGGUAUGGUGACAACCACACGUGUGGGUCAAAAGCAUGGUUGUGUCCUUCUUCGCUAUGUUUAUUAUGCUCAUGCUUUUUGUCAGCAUCCUCAUGGUGAUGGUCAUGUCCAGCUCCUGCUACCAAGAGCAUGUUACCAGUUCCCUUGACGAUGGUCACUUUUUUAGAUGUCAAUGAUUUUUUCACAUCAGAAACCCAAGUUUCCAUAUUGUCAUCCAUAUAAACAAAUGCAUCUGCAUCUUGGAUUUUUUUAAUGUCUUUUGUAGAAGGCUCAAAAUCAUGAGGUUCCGUUCCUGCUUUCAU